rnacentral:lncRNA from 1 species
AUGGGUACAUACAAAUACAUCCAGGAGCUAUGGAGGAAGAAGCAGUCCCAUGUGAUGCUCUUUCUUAUGAGGGUCCGCUGCUGGCAAUACCGCCAGCUCUUUGUGCUGCACAGGGCUCCUGUGAAGUCCGAGAUACAAGGCUAAGCAAGGUUAUGUCAUUUACAGGAUUCGUGUCCACCUUGUUGGUUGCAAUUGCACAGUUCCUAAGGGUGCAACUUACAGCAAUCCUGUCCAUCAGGGUGUUAAACAGCUGAAUUUGCCCAAAGCCUUGAGUCUGCUCUGAGAGAGCUGGAUACCAUUGUGGGGUGUUGAGAAUCCUGAAUUCCGACUGGGUUGGUGAAGAUUCCACAUGUAAGUGUUUUGAGCCUGUCCUCAUUGAUUUGUUCCAGAAAGCUCUCAGAAGAAAUCCAGACACCCAGCGGGUCACCAAACCAGUUCACAAGCACAGGGAGAUGUGUGGGCUGCCAUCUGCUGGAUGCAGAGGCAUGGCCUUGGAAAGGGCCACAAGCUCUAAAUCCCUAGGGGAUUUGGUGGCUCUUUGCUGUGCAGCCUGGGGAAGGCGCAAUACUCUGCAGCUCCACCAUUACUGCUAA